GUGGGGAAUUUUGGACAAUGGGCGCAAGCCUGAUCCAGCAAUGCCGCGUGCAGGAAGAAGGCCUUCGGGUUGUAAACUGCUUUUGUACGGAACAAAACGGUCCGGGUUAAUACCCUGGGCUAAUGACGGUACCGUAAGAAUAAGCACCGGCUAACUACGUGCCAGCAGCCGCGGUAAUACGUAGGGUGCAAGCGUUAAUCGUAAUUACUGGGCGUAAAGCGUGCGCAGGCGGUGCUGUAAGACAGGCGUGAAAUCCCCGGGCUCAACCUGGGAAUUGCGCUUGUGACUGCAGUGCUGGAGUACGGCAGAGGGGGAUGGAAUUCCGCGUGUAGCAGUGAAAUGCGUAGAUAUGCGGAGGAACACCGAUGGCGAAGGCAGUCCCCUGGGCCUGUACUGACGCUCAUGCACGAAAGCGUGGGGAGCAAACAGGAUUAGAUACCCGUGUAGUCC
rnacentral:rRNA from 1 species